UGGCUCAGAGGGUAAAGCAUCUGCCUGCAAUGCAGGAGACCCAGGUUCGAUUCCUGG
rnacentral:tRNA from 1 species